UACAGAGGGUGCGAGCGUUAAUCGGAAUUACUGGGCGUAAAGCGUGCGUAGACGGUUUCGUAAGUCGGGUGUGAAAGCCCCGGGCUCAACCUGGGAAUUGCAUUCGAGACUGCGUAGCUAGGGUGCGGAAGAGGGAAGCGGAAUUUCCGGUGUAGCGGCGAAAUGCGUAGAUAUCGGAAGGAACAUCAGUGGCGAAAGCGGCUUCCUGGUCCAGCACCGACGUUCAGGCACGAAAGCGUGGGGAGCAAACAGG
rnacentral:rRNA from 1 species